rnacentral:rRNA from 1 species
UACGUAGGGUGCAAGCGUUAUCCGGAAUUAUUGGGCGUAAAGAGCUCGUAGGCGGUUUGUCGCGUCUGCUGUGAAAACUGGAGGCUCAACCUCCAGCCUGCAGUGGGUACGGGCAAACUAGAGUGCGGUAGGGGAGAUUGGAAUUCCUGGUGUAGCGGUGGAAUGCGCAGAUAUCAGGAGGAACACCGAUGGCGAAGGCAGAUCUCUGGGCCGUAACUGACGCUGAGGAGCGAAAGCAUGGGGAGCGGACAGG